CACGUAGUUAGCCGGCGCUUCUUCUGCAGGUACCGUCACUCUCGCUUCUUCCCUACUGAAAGAGGUUUACAACCCGAAGGCCGUCAUCCCUCACGCGGCGUCGCUGCAUCAGGCUUUCGCCCAUUGUGCAAUAUUCCCCACUGCUGCCUCCCGUAGGAGUCUGGGCCGUGUCUCAGUCCCAGUGUGGCCGGUCCGCCCUCUCAGGCCGGCUACCCGUCAUCGUCUUGGUGAGCCAUUACCUCACCAACAAACUGAUAGGCCGCGAGUCCAUCCUUCACCGAUAAAUCUUUCCAACCCCCGACCAUGCGACAAGGGUUCAUAUCCGGUAUUAGCCACGAUUUCCCGAGGUUAUCCCGAAGUGAAGGGCAGGUUACUCACGUGUUACUCACCCGUUCGCCACUAAUCAGACCUUGCAAGCACGGUCGUCAUCGUUCGACUUGCAUGUGUUAAGCACGCCGCCAGCGUCGUCUCGUGCGCGAGUCAACUAC
rnacentral:rRNA from 1 species